rnacentral:tRNA from 1 species
UGGGGCGUCGCCAAGUGGUAAGGCAGCGGUUUUUGGCACCGCCAUUCGUAGGUUCGAGUCCUUCCGCCCCAG